rnacentral:rRNA from 1 species
GGUGGACGCUGGCGGUAGGCCUAACACAUGCAAGUCGAACGGAAGCACAGUAAGAGCUUGCUCUUACGGGUGGCGAGUGGCGGACGGGUGAGGAAUACAUAAGAAUCUACUUUUUCGGGGGGGAUAACGGAGGGAAACUGACGAUAAUACCGCAUACGACCUACGGGUGAAAGCAGUGGAUCUUCGGACCUUGCGCGAUUGAAUGAGCCGCUGCCGGAUUAGCUAGUUGGCAGGGUAACGGCUCACCAAGGCAACGCUGCGUAGCUGGCCUGAGAGGAUGAUCGGCCACACUGGAACUGAGACACGGUCCAGACUCCUACGGGAGGCAGCAGUGGGGAAUUUUCCACAAUGGGCGAAAGCCUGACGGAGCAACGCCGCGUGAGUGAUGAAGGUCUUCGGAUCGUAAACCUCUUUUAUUAGGAAAGAAAAAAUGUGUAAGUAACUAUGCACGUCUUGACGUUACCUAAUCAGAAAGCCACGGCUAACUACGUG